rnacentral:rRNA from 1 species
AUUGAACGCUGGCGGAAUGCUUUACACAUGCAAGUCGAACGGCAGCACGGGGGCAACCCUGGUGGCGAGUGGCGAACGGGUGAGUAACACAUCGGAACGUGCCCAGUCGUGGGGGAUAACGUAGCGAAAGCUACGCUAAUACCGCAUACGAUCUACGGAUGAAAGCGGGGGAUCGCAAGACCUCGCGCGAUUGGAGCGGCCGAUGGCAGAUUAGGUAGUUGGUGGGGUAAAGGCUCACCAAGCCGACGAUCUGUAGCUGGUCUGAGAGGGCGACCAGCCAGACUGGGACGGAGACACGGCCCAGACUCCUACGGGAGGCAGCAGUGGGGAAUUUUGGACAAUGGGCGCAAGCCUGAUCCAGCCAUUCCGCGUGCAGGAUGAAGGCCCUCGGGUUGUAAACUGCUUUUGUACGGAACGAAACGGCUCUCUCUAAUACAGGGGGCUAAUGACGGUACCGUAAGAAUAAGCACCGGCUAACUACGUGCCAGCCGCCGCAGUAA